rnacentral:other from 1 species
AGAAUCCUGAGGUGUGCGUGGUGCCUUAAUUUUGAACCUGCUAUAUCUGACACGGGAGUCCGAAUAUUUGGAUCCGUAGCACAGGCCGCAAUCUAAUUCCGACACAGGGUCCGAGCCCUGUGCAACGGCGGCGGAAGUGUGAAAUAUUCAAUAGGACACCCACCUGGCGAGUGCCAGGUGUCAAACAAGGUAAACGGCAUCUUGGGAGGGGC